rnacentral:rRNA from 1 species
UACGUAGGCAGCGAGCGUUGUUCGGAGUUACUGGGCGUAAAGGGUGUGUAGGCGGUUGUUUAAGUUUGGUGUGAAAUCUCCCGGCUCAACUGGGAGGGUGCGCCGAAUACUGAAUGACUAGAGUGCGGGAGAGGAGAGUGGAAUUCCUGGUGUAGCGGUGAAAUGCGUAGAUAUUGGGAGGAACACCAGUGGCGAAGGCGGCUCACUGGACCGGAACUGACGCUGAGGCGCGAAAGCGUGGGGAGCAAACAGG